rnacentral:rRNA from 1 species
CGUGUAGGCGGUUUGUUAAGUCUGAUGUGAAAGCCCCGGGCUCGACCUGGGAAGUGCAUUGGAAACUGGCAGACUUGAAUACGGGAGAGGGUAGUGGAAUUCCUAGUGUAGGAGUGAAAUCCGUAGAUAUUAGGAGGAACACCGGUGGCGAAGGCGGCUGCCUGGACCGAUAUUGACGCUGAGACGCGAAAGCGUGGGGAGCAAACAGGAUUAGAUACCCUGGUAGUCCACGCCGUAAACGAUGAGUACUAGGUGUUGCGGGUAUUGACCCCUGCAGUGCCGCAGCUAACGCAUUAAGUACUCCGCCUGGGAAGUACGGCCGCAAGGCUAAA